GGAGGGGUGGCAGAGCGGCUUAAUGCGGCGGUCUUGAAAACCGUUGACCCGUAAGGGUCCGGGGGUUCAAAUCCCUCCCCCUCCGCGA
rnacentral:tRNA from 1 species